rnacentral:rRNA from 1 species
GACAGAGGUGGCAAGCGUUGUUCGGAUUUACUGGGCGUAAAGAGUGCGUAGGUGGUGAGGUAAGAUCUGUGGGAAAGACCUGGGCUUAACCCAGGAAGGUCGCAGGUGACUGCCUCGCUUGAGGACGGGAGAGGAGAGCGGAAUUCCUGGUGUAGCGGUGAAAUGCGCAGAUAUCAGGAGGAACACCAAUGGCGAAGGCAGCUCGCUGGAACGGUACUGACGCUGAGGCGCGAAAGCGUGGGGAGCGAACAGG